rnacentral:SRP_RNA from 1 species
GCCGGGCGUUGUGGCGGGCGCCUGUAGUCCCAGCUACUUGGGAGGCUGAGGCAGGAGACUCGCUUGAGCCCAGGAGUUGGAGAUUGCUGUGAGCAGUGAAGCCAUGGCACUCUACCCAGGGGGACGGACAGCUUGAGGCUCUGUCUCAAAAAAAAAAAAAAAAAAAACUGGGCCUUGUGGCAGGCACCUGUAGUCCCAGCUACUCGGGAGUCUGAGGCAAGAGUAUCGCCUAAGCCCAAGGGCUGGAGGUGGUUAUAAGCUGUGACGCCACGGCACUCUCCCGAGGGCGACAAAGUGAGACUCUGUCUCUU